AGUACAGUUGUCCGUAUACCAAAAAACUAGCGGGAACGUGGCUCUUCCCGCCCAGGUUUGGGUGUAAAUUUCUUGGAAACUUUUGGGUCUGGUCUUCUUGCUGCCUAUAAAUAGUCCCGACCCGCAAGGAUUCAUAAGCCAGCUCGCUGUUACUUCCCUUUACGAUUCUCCAAUACGAUGAGCUCGGUCCCUGAUGGUGUCCCGCUGCCGGCCGCUUGGAACUAUGGUGCUAUUGAACGAGCUUUGCGAGACGCAGAUGCCCAUGGCGACAAGUCAAACUUUGAAACCGAAGUAGGCCAGUUGUUUGAUUCUCCACAAGAGGGGUUUGAGCUCUUUAGCAUGUAUUCUUGGGAACUCGGAUUUGGAAUCCAUUUUGGCCGUAGCAGAACUAGCAUUUCCGGGAGAAGGUCCAGGCAGGAUAUCGUUUGUGCCUGUGAGGGGCGAGAUUCUAGCGAAGAGGCACGAUCCGUGCGUUGUGGUUGUGCGGUUAUGAUUCGCCUGCUGCGCAAGGACGAUGACUCUUGGUUUAUUAGUCGUUUCGUGGGCGCCCAUAACCAUCCUCUAUCCUCUACCUGCGGUGAGAGAAGGCAGUGGAAGUCGCACAGCAGGAUAGAUCAAAUGACGCGUGACCUGGAACAAAAUCUUAGGGCUAACAACGUCCAAAUCUCUAGAGUUUGUUCUAUUUUGGGGAGCAUGCAUGGUUCUAGCAAAUAUGUUCCUUUUAGUCGCCAGUCAAUUAGGACUCUUUGUGGGCGGCUAGCUCAAGAGUUGAUUGAGGGAGACAUGAGCAAAACAAUUGGGCUCUUUGCCGGCAUGAGGGAACAAGAUCCAGCUAUGGUUAUCAGGAUGCAGCUGGAUGAUGGGAGGCGGAUCAAAUCUCUGUUUUGGUGUCACGGUGCUAGCCGGUUCAACUAUUCUUGUUUUGGGGGAUGCAAUCACUUUUGAUACUACUUACCGAACCAAUUUGUACAACUUUCCGUUUGGUUUGUUCGUGGGCGCUAACCAUCAUUUCCAGACCGUCAUAUUUGGAGCUGUGCUGCUUACAGAGGAGACUACAGAUGCUUUUCAGUGGGCAUUCCGUACCUUCGUUGAAGCUAUGGAUGGUCUGCAUCCUUAAACAAUCCUGACUGACCAGUGCCCGGCCAUGAAAUCUGCAAUUGCAAUUGAACUCCCGACCACUCGGCACAGGUGGUGCAAAUGGCACGUUCUGAAAAAGGCUAAGGAGUCCCUAGGAGGCAUAUACAGUAAGAACUCUAUUUUUAAGAAGCAGCUGCAUGAGCUUGUAGAUGAGAUUGUUUCUAUCCCAGAGUUUGAGACUCGUUGGGCACAGUUGGUAGAGGAACAUGGUCUUGGGGAAAAUGAGUUUCUUGCUCGAGCUUACCAGAACAGAGAUAUGUGGGCUAAACCAUUUUUCACUGAAACUUUCUGCACUGGGAUGACUAGAACUCAACGCAGUGAGAGCGCUAAUCAUCUUUUGAAGACUUAUAUCCCUAGGUCGGCUCCCAUGCAUCUUUUUGUUUCCCAGUAUAACAGAAUGAUAGCUGAUCGUGAUGCCGAUGAAGGAAAGGAAGAACAUGCUACUAAACAGGUUUGAUUUAUAUGUUCAGCACCGAGCGUCAAUACAAGAUGAUAUGCAUGUUGAUUUUUUUUCCCUAAUAGGCUCACCGAUCUCUGCGCGUUGGGGUGCCUCUGGAGUUACAUGCUGCUCAAGUUUACACCAGAGCUAUGUACCAGAGGUUUUCCAAUGAAUUGUUUAAAUCCGGUAAAUUUUCCUGCGCUGACGAACCUGAAGCUGGGAACUACAGAGUUAUCCUUCUCGAUUAUGGCCCUUAUAUGGACCACGGUCUAGUUGAGUACCGUGUCGGUUCGAACCCAUUUGCAACAGAUUUCUUUUGCCAAUGCAAACGUUUCGAGCAUUGCGGGAUCCCCUGUUGUCACAUUCUGAAGGUUCUGACCCAUCAUGGUUUCACUGAGAUUCCUGCUGGUCUUUUGUUGAAGCGAUGGACGAGGGAAGCAAAGUCGGUUGGUGAUCCUAAGCUUGCUGCUGUCAUUGCGGCGCAGCAGGUUACUGAUCUCGAUGUCGCUGGCCAUUACUUCUUUGACAGGGAUCAGUGACGAUGGAGCGUUGGGGUCUGGUCUUGGUUCUGACCACCCAACCGAAGAAAUGGGUAGUGGUAAUGAACUGGCAAGUGCCAGCGCGCCACCGCGCGUUCGUUCUCGGGGUAGGCCAGCAAAGUGCCGUAUGAAAUCUCCUUUGGAGAGCCCAGGUGCUAGCAAACGCAAGGAAGCACAACCAAUGGGUGUGCGCCAUUCCAAGAGGCUGAAUGCUUCUAGUCGCAGCAAUGUUGCUGAAGGCAAAUGCAGGUUGUGCGGCUCUGAUGACCACUACGCUAAUGCUUGUCCUGAGAACACUGUUUCAGACCCCAAGUCAAUAGCUGUCCGUAAGUGGAAGGCUUACGGUGAAGAUGGCCAUUAUCGCAGUACUUGUGGCCGCGUGUCCACCUAUGGUGGUGGAAAGGGGAGGUGAAAAAUAUUGGAGAUCAGCUAUUGGUUCGGUUUAAUGUUGUUCGCGUUUGUACUGCUUCAGUCUUGUCGUAGUUGAACUUAGCGCAGAUGUAGAUCGAUUCAAUGGGUAUGAUCCACGUGCACCUGCACUUGUACUCUUACCGCUGUAAUGGUAACAUCUGUUUGAAUGCUAGCAUUUAUGAAAAUGGAAAAUGUCUUGUCAUUGAUGUACCUUCGUAUUGAUGAUAAAUGGUGUAUAGCUUUGCCUGUGUAUUUAAGUGGGUUGGCAGAUUCAUGCUCCAACCAUAAAGGAAACAGGUCUGCAUCCGGCUUCGUUAGCUUUCGCAAUUCCUUAGCGUUGCCACAUAUUUGUGUCAAUGUCUUCUGCUUCGACCGGUCGCAGUUCUUCGUAUCUGGGACUAUCGGAACACAAAUGCGACUGCGGUGAGUUUUGCGGCAUGUGGGUAUCUCGAACUCCUCGCAAUCCUGGAAGAGUUUUCAUCAAAUGCAUAUGUCUUAGGUGCAACUGUGGGUUCGGGCGGUGGAAGGCUACUGCAGACCAUCUUGCUACUGCUGGUUCAUCCCAAGUUCGUCAUGAGGCAUCUGCACCUUUGCACACCAGGCCCCCCGUUGGAGGCUUGCCUUCACAACCCGCAAGUCCUGUCAAUGGAGCAGAAGCGCAAUCGACGUUCCGGGCCGAGUUUGAUGCAUUGUGCAGGGAAUACUUAGAACUGGAGCGACUGAUCUAUUGUGCUUUCGUUUGUUAUUUUACAUUUGCUUUAGUCAUUUUGUGGGUUGCCGCUAGAGUACUGUGAGAGAGUAUUGUAGUUUUACUUUUGUGAUCCUUUUUUCUGUGCACAGAACUAAUGUGAUGCUUAUUUUGUUGG